UACGAAGGGGGGCUAGCGUUGCUCGGAAUUACUGGGCGUAAAGCGCACGUAGGCGGCUUUCUAAGUCGGGGGUGAAAUCCUGGAGCUCAACUCCAGAACUGCCUUCGAUACUGGAGAGCUCGAGUCCGGGAGAGGUGAGUGGAACUGCGAGUGUAGAGGUGAAAUUCGUAGAUAUUCGCAAGAACACCAGUGGCGAAGGCGGCUCACUGGCCCGGUACUGACGCUGAGGUGCGAAAGCGUGGGGAGCAAACAGG
rnacentral:rRNA from 1 species